AUCACAUCGUCAUCAACUAAACAAACCAUGGAAGAGAAACUGAAUCCACAAGGAAGCUAUAGGAGGAAAAAUAAAGAGAAACAUAAAGGCUAUAGAUGCUGUUUGCACUCCUAUGGCUAAGAAACAGCUUUAAUAAAAAAAUAAAACUGACUUCAUUUCUACUGCAACCGCCCCUCCCACUCAGAACCCUCUGUACCAAAGAGUUUAGUUAAAGAAGUCCAAAAUACAGAAUACAGCUGCAUCAUCUUCUCAGCAACCCACGCUACCUCAAAGUUGUCCUCUGCUGUCUACACUAGCUUCCCAUAGAAUAUCUAGGUUCGACGGGGACAGGUGAGCAAAGCCCACAGGAAUACCAGGAAUGGAAAAUCUAACCUUCCCUGGUUAAGGGAUGUUGGCCCUUUAACAAAGACUUCCUUUACUGAAAAUGUAAAUAAGUCACUGAAGGACAAACAUUUUAUUGUGAAAUCUGGAUACUAAACAGCUCUACCUAGACCUUUAAUCGUAUUUGAGGAGUUGACCCAGGAGCAAGCUGGAACAAAAGUAAACCAAUACUUUUAAUGCUCAAGCCUGGCUGCCAUGAAAACUUUUGCAAAGCAGAAACCUGGAACCCUCACACAGCAGUGUGGUUUUAGCUGAUCUCACUUCUGAGGAUCACAAAGACACAGAAAAGACAGAUGAUCCAGGCACUCCAAAGCUGCCCAGAUCUGCAUGCCACUAGCCUGUUGACUGCCAUGGUGCCUGUUGAAGUCAUCACAGAGUGGCAUGGCGUCCUACUGUGGAGGAAGAAAUAAAACAUGCAUCCCUAGAAACUUUGGGAGAGGAUCACAGAGUAUCUCCAUGAAAGUUCAUCAAGAUUUCUCAGGAGGGUAAAAGGGACAUCUCUAUCCACAUAAACAUUGACUCUGCAUGGCCCUCUCCCCACCUAGCCCAACGGAGGAAAUGAAAAGCAAAUGCUGACUUUACCUCUGUUUGUACAUCUAGUUCUUUGCAUAUGAGUGAAGGAAUGAUAAGUUAAUACCUUCUGUCUUGUUAACUUUGGGGAUUGGCCAGGAGCCAUUUUCAAAUGUAAACAUUGUAAGGAAAAAUGCAUGUGCACACUUACCCAAACUCCCUUCCCCUUCAUCCAUGGGCUCAUCUACACUUGCGUGGCACGACUAGCUGGAUUCCUGCUGGGUUUCCUGGCUCAUAGCAUGGUUGGAGCCCCUGCUGUGUCUUCCUCCUCCUCCUCCUUGCUGUUCAUGGCAGGAGUCUGUCUUGGGUUUUUUUGAGGUAUCCACAGUGGUCUGUGGGUGCUGGUGGUGUCACAGCCAAAUAUGGCAGUAGUUGUAGAAGAGGCAGGUCCAUGGGGCACAACCAGAUCUAUUGUUGCCCUUCCUGACCUAGUUGUAUCCCUGAACUUUCAUGUGGCACUGAUGCUCAUCCCUGUCAUGCCCCUUUGCCUGCAUCUCCCAUGCAAUCUGCUUGUAGAUGUCCACAUUUCUAUGGCUAGUCUGUUGCUGUGCCUGCACAGCCUCCUCCUUCCACAGACCCAGGAGAGCCAAUAUCUCCUGCUACUCCAGCCAGGAGCACAUCUACUAUCUGUGUGGAGCUAGCAUUGUUGGUUGGGCAGUUGCAUACAACAAAGGUAAGCUGCAACUGGGAAAAGGCAUUUCAAAAAUACAUGGGCUUUUAAGGGGUGGGUGUGUGGCUUCUGGUCUCUGUGACCCAUGGGCAGUGAAGUUUAAAAUUGUGACCAGAGCAGUCACUGCCAUGGGGAAUGAGGGAU